rnacentral:rRNA from 1 species
AUGCACCGCCACUCCGCCCAAGAGGCGCAGGGGAUGGGGAGCAACGGAGGCGGCGCCAAGCCGCCGGCGUGGGAGUUCCACGCCACCGGGCCUCGCAACCUCUCCAGCCCCGGCCGCUCUGCCUGGAAAAAUCCCAACUACAGAAGAAUUGCAAUAUCAUGUUUAGUGCAGGCCGCGUAUGUACUGGAGUUUGACAGGCAAGAGAACAGAACUGGUGAAACUGCCAUUGCUCCUAACUGGUGGAAGCCAUUUAAAUACAAGAUGGUGCGCCUUCUAAUUGAUCCCAGAGACGGAUCCAUAUAUGGGGCACUUCUAGAAUGGGACCAGAUUGCUGCACUAUCAGACUGGAUAAUGCGGAGACCUGAUGGUGCUCCAAAGGCUGUCCUGGCACUGAGGGGAACUGUCCUGAAGCAGUCAACUGUUGCCAGAGACUUGGAGGAUGACCUCAGGUACUUUGCUCAGGAGAGCUUGAGGGGUUCUGUCAGGUUCGCUGGAGCACUGGAGGUGCUCAAGUCGGCAAUCGAUACGCAUGGAAGCAACAAUGUGUGCGUUGCGGGGCAUUCCCUAGGGGCCGGAUAUGCUAUGCAGGUUGGUAAGACUUUGGCAAAGGAUGGAGUCUUCGUAGAAUGCCAUUUGUUUAACCCACCAUCAGUGUCACUCGGCCUGGGCCUGAGGAAGCUUCAGGAUAAAGUCGACAAGGUCUUGAAGCGAUACAUCAGCGGCAGCUCUUCAAAUGCCGUUGAAAGUUCUCACCCCGGACAGAAGGGGGAAACUGUUUCUGAAAUUGGAGAAGAAAAACUGAUCAAGGAGGUGAAGAGAUGGGUGCCGAACCUGUACAUCAACAACAGCGACUACAUUUGCUGCUUCUAUGUUGACCGUAGUGGCGUACCAACUGUUACUGCCGAGAAGCGCGGCGAUGGUCACCCCGAGGCGCGUGCCAAGGUCUUUGUGAUUGCGAAAGGGCCACAGAAGUUUCUAAAAGCUCAUGGGCUGCAGCAAUGGUGGAUGGAUGAUUCCGAGCUCCAUCUGGCUGUGAAUGAGAGCAAGCUCAUGUAUAAGCACCUCAAGUCCCUAUGUACAAGUGCGUAG